GUGCCGAAAUGAUUGUGAGUUGACUUGACGAAAGUCUUUGAACAUUGACAAACCUCUGACAUUGGUCACACUUCUGCACCAGAUUGGCAGCACCCUUCUGUAUGGUUGACUAAUAAUAUCUUUGCCGUGGUAUCUUGUAAGACAGCAACUUGCCCCCCAAGUGAUUGUCGCAAAUGCUCUCGUGCAUCUUCCAAAGAACGUAGUCAGCU
rnacentral:lncRNA from 1 species